rnacentral:pre_miRNA from 1 species
AAUAAGUACAUUUUUUAGUUUUAGGUAUAAUGUUUUGACUCUUCGUCUUAUUUAAAUUUUUUUGAUUAAUAAUUUUAUUGUUACUGGAUAAUAAAACAUGAAUAAUAUUUUAUGUGUGACUAAUUUUUCUAAAAUUUUUGUACAAAUUUUUCAAAUAUGAUGAAUGAUCAAAUAUUGGACACAGAAAU